rnacentral:rRNA from 1 species
CCUUUUAUGGAGAGUUUGAUCCUGGCUCAGGACGAACGCUGGCGGCGUGCCUAAUACAUGCA